UAAUACGGAGGGUGCGAGCGUUAAUCGGAAUUACUGGGCGUAAAGCGCAUGUAGGCGGUCUGAUAAGUCGGAUGUGAAAUCCCUGGGCUUAACCUAGGAACGGCAUUCGAUACUGUCAGGCUAGAGUAGGACAGAGGAGAGGGGAAUUCCGCGUGUAGCAGUGAAAUGCGUAGAUAUGCGGAGGAACACCAAUGGCGAAGGCACCUCUCUGGGUCCAUACUGACGCUGAGAUGCGAAAGCGUGGGGAGCAAACAGGAUUAGAGACCCCGGUAGUCCUAGCCGUAAACGAUGCGAACUGGGCGUGGGUGGAUUAAAACCCAUCCGUGCCGAAGCUAACGCGAUAAGUUCGCCGCCUGGGGACUACGGCCGCAAGGUUA
rnacentral:rRNA from 1 species